rnacentral:rRNA from 1 species
GACGAACGCUGGCGGCGUGCUUAACACAUGCAAGUCGAACGGAAAGGCCCUGCUUGCAGGGUACUCGAGUGGCGAACGGGUGAGUAACACGUGGGUGAUCUGCCCUGCACUUCGGGAUAAGCCUGGGAAACUGGGUCUAAUACCGGAUAGGAGCCAUCUUUAGUGUGAUGGUUGGAAAGUUUUUUCGGUGGGGGAUGAGCUGGCGGCCUAUCAGCUUGUUGGUGGGGUAAUGGCGUACCAAGGCGGCGACGGGUAGCCGGCCGGAGAGGGUGGACGGCCACAUUGGGACUGAGAUAAGGACCAGAGUCCUACGGGAGGCAGCAGUGGGGAAUGUUGCAGAAUGGGCGGAAGCAUGAUGCAGCAACGCCGAGUGCGGGAUGACGGCCUUCGGGUUGUAAACCGCUUUCGCCUGUGACGAAGCGUGAGUGACGGUAAUGGGUAAAGAAGCACCGGCUAACUACGUG